GGAAUAUGGCAGGGAUAUACAGAUGAAUGAUCAUUACGAGCUUCCAACUUGUCAUGGAACUGUUGUUCUACAGAAUCACUGUGUCUCUAUUACGCCUUUUAUUUUUCCAGUCUUUCUCAUGCUUGUGAUUUCUUGAUGCCAUUGUGUAACUGGAAGUUCUCUGUGGUAAGUGGUCACUAAGAAGUAUCUUUUGUCAGUCUUGAGUUGAGAGUUCAUGAGAGAAAGAUAUGGGAG
rnacentral:misc_RNA from 1 species